CCUUAUGAAGAGUGACGGAGGGACAGGCCCUAUGAAGUCCGGCAACCUGCAAAUUUUGCAAGGUGCCAAUUCCCACAGCUUUAUUGCUGAAAGAUAAGG
rnacentral:ncRNA from 1 species